rnacentral:rRNA from 1 species
AUUGCACGCUGGCGGCAGGCCUAACACAUGCAAGUCGAGCGAGCGGCGGACGGGUGAGUAAUGUAUGGGGACUGCCCGAUAGAGGGGGAUAACUACUGGAAACGGUAGCUAAUACCGCAUACUAUCGGAUAACCCAUAUGGGAUUAGCUAGUAGGUGAGGUAAUGGCUCACCUAGGCGACGAUCCCUAGCUGGUCUGAGAGGAUGAUCAGCCACACUGGGACUGAGAGACGGGCCAGAGUCCGACGGAGGCAGAAGGGGGGAAGAGUGCACAAUGGGCGGAAGCCUGAUGCAGCCAUGCAGCGUGUAUGAAGAAGGCCCUAGGGUUGUAGAGUACGUUCAGUCGGGAGGCGUUACCGACAGAAGAAGCACCGGCUAACUCCGUGCCAGCAGGGGCGGGAAUAC